CCUACGGGAGGCAGCAGUGGGGAAUCUUGCACAAUGGAGGAAACUCUGAUGCAGCGAUGCCGCGUGAGUGAAGAAGGCCUUUGGGUUGUAAAGCUCUUUUGUAGGGGAAGAUAAUGACUGUACCCUAAGAAUAAGGUCCGGCUAACUUCGUGCCAGCAGCCGCGGUAAUACGAAGGGACCUAGCGUAGUUCGGAAUUACUGGGCGUAAAGCGCGCGUAGGCCGUUGAGUUAGUUAAUUGUGAAAUCCCAAAGCUUAACUUUGGAACUGCAAUUAAAACUACUCGACUAGAGUUUGAUAGAGGAAAGCGGAAUACAUAGUGUAGAGGUGAAAUUCGUAGAUAUUAUGUAGAACACCAGUUGCGAAGGCGGCUUUCUGGACCAGCACUGACGCUGAGGCGCGAAAGUAUGGGUAGCAAAGAGGAUUAGAUACCCUCGUAGUCCAUACCAUAAACGAUGAUUGCUAGAUGUUGGAAAUUUAUUUUACAGUAUCGCAGCUAACGCAUUAAGCAAUCCGCCUGGGGAGUACGACCGCAGGUUAAAACUCAAAUGAAUUGAACGG
rnacentral:rRNA from 1 species